rnacentral:rRNA from 1 species
GACAGAGGCCCCAAGCGUUAGGCGGAAUCACUGGGCUUAAAGCGUGUGUAGGCGGACUUCUAAGUGCCUUGUGAAAUCCCACGGCUCAACCGUGGAACUGCUGGGCAUACUGGGAGUCUUGGGCCAUUCAGGGGUAACUGGAACAAGCGGUGGAGCGGUGAAAUGCGUAGAUAUCGCUUGGAACGCCGAAGGUGAAAACAGGUUGCUGGGGAUGUGCCGACGCUGAGACACGAAAGCCAGGGGAGCAAACGGG